UAUUUUAUUUACUUUUUUUUUUGAAAUAGAAACUUCAUUAAUUGAUGGCCAAACGACAUCUAUAAUAAGUAUUAAAGAAAAAACAAUACAUAAUCAGACAAGAUCUGUAACACCCCACAAUUUUUGUACCUAUUUAUAUGCUUAUUAUUUGUAUAUUAAAUAUUUUAUGAAAGUAAAUUAAAUUAUUUCAUUUAUGAAAAUAUUAAUUUUUCUCACUUUGGCUUUAGUUCAAGAGUGGUCAAGUAAGUUUUAUAUUUCUAAAAGAGGUUAUCAUAUAUUAUAUAAGUAUACACUUCUAGAUUUAGAUGGUAAAAGGAAAACAAAUAGAAAAGAGAGGAAAAAAAAAAAGGAAAAAGGAGUUUAAAACCAAAAAGAAAGAAAAAGAAAAAGAAAAAAAAAAAAAAGAACAAAGGCUACGGGAUUGUAAUUCCCAGCCAAAACAAAACAAAAGAAAGGUUUCUUUCUUUUGGUUCACUUCAUCUUCUACCCUAUUCAUUCUUCUCCUAUUUCUUGAUUCAAUACCAUAAAUUCACAAACUUUGUUGAACGUUUAUCACACAUCAAUCUUCCUUCCUCUAACUUCAACAAUACUUGAUUUUGUGGGUAUUUCAAAGAGUGAAAAUUUGGGUUUCAAAUUGGACGUUUUUGGGGGCGAAUAUCGGAUUAAAAAAAGGAGUGAUUUUCGGGUCUUUUUCUUGAGUAAUUUCAUCUCUCUAUUCAAAUCACGGGUUUGUAGAGGAACCCUUUUGACUUGUAAUUGAGAUUGGUUGAUAGUGGUUUGCUAAUAAGGGCUUGAUGGUGACUAGCUUAUAUUGGGGUGGAAGCGUUGAUUUCACCUAGAUGUAGAUUUAUUAAAGUUAAGACUUCCGCUGCAAUAGUUUAGAAUUAUGGUUUGUUAUAGGAGCGUAUUAAUUAAUUACAUUUCCUUUUAGUUGUAAUAGUUAAUAAUUAAUUUAUGUAUUAGUAGUAGUACCUUU